rnacentral:rRNA from 1 species
AGUCGAACGGAUUCUUCGGAAUCAGUGGCGGACGGGUGAGUAACGCGUGAGAAUCUGCCUUCAGGAUGGGGACAACAGUUGGAAACGGCUGCUAAUACCGAAUGUGUCGCAAGAUGAAAGAUUAAUUGCCUGAAGAUGAGCUCGCGUCUGAUUAGCUAGUUGGUGGGGUAAGAGCCUACCAAGGCGACGAUCAGUAGCUGGUCUGAGAGGAUGAUCAGCCACACUGGGACUGAGACACGGCCCAGACUCCUACGGGAGGCAGCAGUGGGGAAUUUUCCGCAAUGGGCGAAAGCCUGACGGAGCAACGCCGCGUGAGGGAGGAAGGCUCUUGGGUUGUAAACCUCUUUUCUCAAGGAAGAUAAUGACGGUACUUGAGGAAUCAGCAUCGGCUAACUCCGUGCCAGCAGCCGCGGUAAUACGGAGGAUGCAAGCGUUAUCCGGAAUAAUUGGGCGUAAAGCGUUCGUAGGUGGUGAUGUAAGUCUGCUGUUAAAGCGUGUAGCUUAACUACAUAUAGGCGGUGGAAACUACAUGACUAGAGUGCGUUCGGGGCAGAGGGAAUUCCUGGUGUAGCGGUGAAAUGCGUAGAUAUCAGGAAGAACACCGGCGGCGAAGGCGCUCUGCUAGGCCGUAACUGACACUG